AGCUACGGCCACACCGCCUGGUUCACGCCCGAUCUCGUUUGAUCUCGGAAGCUAAGAUAGGUUGGGCCUGGUUAGUACUUGGAUGGGAGACCGCCUGGGAAUACCAGGUGCUGUAAGUU
rnacentral:rRNA from 1 species